rnacentral:rRNA from 1 species
GACGAACGCUGGCGGCGUGCCUAACACAUGCAAGUGGAGCGACGAACCAGGCUUCGGCCUGGGGCAAAGCCGCGAACGGGUGAGUAACACGUGGGUAACCUGCCCCGAUGACCGGGACAACCCGAGGAAACUCGGGCUAAUACCGGAUGUACCCCUCGCACGGAAGUGCAAGGAAGAAAGGAAGCUUCGGCCUCCGCCUCGGGAGGGGCCCGCGGCCCAUUAGCUAGCUGGUGAGGUAAUGGCUUGCCAAGGCAACGAUGGGUAGCUGGUCUGAGAGGACGAUCAGCCACACUGGGACUGAGACACGGCCCAGACUCCUACGGGAGGCAGCAGUGGGGAAUCUUGCGCAAUGCGCGAAAGCGUGACGCAGCAACGCCGCGUGGGGGAAGAAGGCCUUCGGGUUGUAAACCCCUUUCAGGAGGGACGAAGGCACGGCGGUGAACAGCCGUCCGUGCUGACGGUACCUCCAGAAGAAGCCCCGGCUAACUACGUGCCAGCCGCCGCGGUAAUAC